rnacentral:rRNA from 1 species
GCCAGACUCCUACGGGAGGCAGCAGUGAGGAAUAUUGGUCAAUGGGCGAGAGCCUGAACCAGCCAAGUCGCGUGAGGGAGUACUGCCCUAUGGGUUGUAAACCUCUUUUGUCGGGGAGCAAAAGCCGGACGUGUCCGGCUGUGAGAGUACCCGAAGAAAAAGCAUCGGCUAACUACGUGCCAGCAGCCGCGGUAAUACGUAGGGUGCAAGCGUUAUCCGGAUUUAUUGGGCGUAAAGGGCUCGUAGGCGGUUCGUCGCGUCCGGUGUGAAAGUCCAUCGCUUAACGGUGGAUCCGCGCCGGGUACGGGCGGGCUUGAGUGCGGUAGGGGAGACUGGAAUUCCCGGUGUAACGGUGGAAUGUGUAGAUAUCGGGAAGAACACCAAUGGCGAAGGCAGGUCUCUGGGCCGUUACUGACGCUGAGGAGCGAAAGCGUGGGGAGCGAACAGGAUUAGAUACCCCGGUAGAG